UAAGGCGACAAAAAUUGGUCUCCUUAAUAUUUUCAGUCCAGAUUUGAUGUAUCAAAUGUCAAUAAAAAUGUCCAUUGACAGUAAGUUGAUAAGCUUGAAUGUUUAUUUACGAGAUAAUUUCAUUGUUUUAAAUCUUAUUAUCUUUUAAUAUUAAAAAAAAUAUUCUUAAACUUUUGUGUGUGUAUAUUUGUGUAUCCAUAAAAAUAGCUAUUAAGGCGACCAGGGAAAAAAUCAUAAUUUUGGUCAAAAAUAGCUAUAUACUAAGCAUUUUUUAUUUGUUUUACUUUAUUUAAAGCCUAUUGUAUAUUAUCCCGAAGUUUCAUUCCAUAAAAAACAGAAAUAAGGAAAUUCGAUAUUUCGUGUACCAUCAGCAUCCAAAUUUUCAAGUAUACAGAAAUUUAACUUUCCGGAAUAUAACGGAAAUUUUCGGGUAUCUCCGUGGUACCAUCUCCGUGCAAUUAUGCAGUAUGGCGUUCAUCUCUUACGGAAAGAGAAUGGUAACUUGUUGCUGCUUGGGACAAUAAAGUUAAGUCAGCAACCGUCUACCAGACUGCAAGAUUCAUCUCUUCCAAAGGAUGUUGUACCUUUCCAGAUACACUGUGUUUUGUGUGGAUAAGAAAUGCAGAGUGGUACCUCCAAUCACCUAAUGGGGACAGUUCCUGCAAUUUACAGAAAAGCUCUCAAUUGUAGCCCUACGAACUUCAGAUACUGCCGAUGGUGAAGCUUGGGUGCACUGGGCCGGUUUUCCAGCCGUGUGGAAUCAACAUCUCCAGCUGAACUGGGGCCGGGAAUUAUAUAAGACUCCUUAGCAGCAUGAGUGCCAGCCAGUCAUUGCUGUUCUUUGCAUUGCUGAGGAGGACAGUCCUGCCAACAUAACAGUUUGUUCAAUAACAGGUGAUGGUUGGGCACACACAAGAAGACAUAGAUCACAGGUGUCUAGCCAUAUGAGUAGAUAGGAGUGUCACAAUCUGCCAAACGUACUUCAUCAGACGAGCAGAAAGCUUCUCAAGAUCCCGCACUGCACACUAAGACAUAGUCUUUGACUACAACAAGGUGAUGAAAGUACAGAGAGGUCCAAUUGAAAUCAAUUCUGUGCUGCUGUCAUUUCUUCAUUCUGGAAGUCGAUGGACAUGAUUUAUCAUGGCAUCAAGUGUGCAGUUUGCCGACUACCAGCAGUCUUGUUCACCAGCUGUGCAACUUGAGCUGGUAGCUUUAUUGCUUGAAGCCACUGCAUAAGAGGGGGAAGGUGCAGGCUCAUCAAAAAGUCUCAAAAGUUGAAACUAGGAAAAGAAGUUUAUCAAGAGUGUGAAUCUAUUUUGAAAACAAUCGUAAACAUACUAUGAAUUGAGAUGCUUAAAUAAAAAACCGCUAUUCAAAUAUCAGGAAACUGCCUUUUUCAUACUAAAGGGUAAAUGAUGUCGCCAUUUCCUGUAUAUAUUUAAAUAAGAUAUGUCUCCACAAUUAAUAUUUUUAGGGAAUUUUUCUCAACCUAAUGAAUGAGAUUAAAUUGUACAGUGUUAUAUGAGCUUAAUAUGUGUUUUCUCAUUCUUUAAAAUUGGUGAAAAAUUGUCAGAAGAUAAUUAGACCAGUAUCCAUUACUGCAAUCAUACAAUCAAAUAUACAGGGACAAGCCCACUGGGCAUAUGAUAUAAUUAAACCCUGUUUAGGGGCACGAGGCAAACACUUUCAAACGUUAAAGCUGCACUCUCACACUUGGGAUGUUUUGACAACCUUUUUCAUUUUAUGUCUUGGAUUGGAACCAUCCAAUUUUUGCGAAAAAUUAAAUCCCAGAUUUUUCUAUUUAAGUUAAAACAUUGAUGUUUUUUAUGCACUUUUCUUAAACCGUUAGUAAAUAUUAAUUUUCGAACGGAAAUAUGAAAUCUGCGAUCUGAUCUUUUGUCAGCAAUCUUUUAUCAUUGGUUUGCAGAUAAUUACGCCAAAACUUGCUCAUUCCAAGACAAAAAAAGUUGUGGAAACGGUAUAUCUGUGAGAGUGCAGCUCUAAAUGUUUAAUUGCUUGAUUUUACUACUGUAUUAGAAAUUACAGGGAUUGGGGCAUAUUUUUAGUGUUUUUAUUGCUUGUUUUUGAUUCAUACAGUCAUACUUUAUUCUUCAGGGCACAACUUACAAAUAGACAAAACUGGAAAAUGGUCAUAUCAAAAGGUCAAAGAUAAUGCAAGUUGAACAAUCAUAUUGUUCAUGGCUUGUAUUUUUGGUAUAUUUUGUUGCAUAUGCUAUAGAAAAGUUGAAAGUUAAAAAUAAAUUCUUAGUUGAAAUGAUGGCUUUGAAUGGUAUUGUCAGAUGAGAAACGGCACUAUUAAGAAAUAGGUAUAAUGGUUCUUUAUUUAUUUUCAUCAAUUUUAGAUAUUAUGAAAAUUAUUAUCUUAUUUAGUACAUGAGACCUUUUAAACAGUUAUUGACAAUAUAACAAUGUGUAUAUGAAGCUUUAGAUCAACACUUAAAGCUGCACUCUUACAGAUUGUCAGUUUAGACACAAACUUGUCUCAAAAUCGGCUGAUUUGGUUAUCAUUCCUUUAAUUCAGUCAUAUUAGAUAAUUCACGAUAGAACCAAUCAAAAAUGUUUGGUAAAACUGCCGAAAAGUUCAUUUACAUUAAAUUGUUCGUAAUGCUUUUAGUCAUUGUUCGUAAUGCUUUUAGUCAUAAAACAUCAUUUUUUUAACAUAAAUAUGAUGAACUGCAAUAUGAUCUUUUUUCAGCAGUCUUAUAUCACUUCAAAUUGGGUCUAGACAUUUCUGCAAAAAAUACUCCAUUUAUAGACAAACAAUAAAAGAGUACCAGCAGUCAAAACGAUCAAUCGGUGAGAUUGCAGCUGAAAUACACCUUUUAAGACCGCUGUAAAAUUCCAAUGGUUUGCCUAAAUCUUUAAAGCUAGCAUACUGUUUAAUUGACAACCAUACUUAUUGUUUAAAAGUGUCAUGAUAUCUUUGUACAAUGUUUUUAUAUAAUUCAUUAAAGAAGUGAAAACAAAUUUGUUU